GCUCAUUUUGGCUGGGCGGCCAGCUCUAGGAAGAGUCCUGGUGGUUCCAAACGUCUUCCAUUUCUUAAUGAUGGAGACCACUGUGCUUUUUGGGAUCUUCAAUGCAGCAGAUAUUUUUCUGUAACCUUCCCCAGAUCUGUGCGCCGAUACAACCCUGUUUCAGAGGUCUACAGACAAUUCUUUCGACUUCAUGGCUUGGUUUGUGCGCUGACGUGCUCUGUCAGCUGUGGGAUCUUAUAUAGACAGGUGUGGCUUUCCAAAUCAUGUCCAAUCAGCUGAAUUUGCCACAGGUGGACUGCAAUCAAGUUGGAGGAACAUUUCAAGGCUGAUCAGUGGAAACAGGAUGCACCUGAGCUCAAUUAUGAGUUUUAUAGCAAAG